ACAGAUCGCUAGGAUCCCUUCGGGGUGACUUUGAUGCUGACGAGCGGCGGACGGGUGAGUAACGCGUAGGAAUCUACCCAGUAGCGGGGGAUAGCCCGGGGAAACUCGGAUUAAUACCGCAUACGCCCCACGGGGGAAAGGCCGGGAUCUUCGGACCGGUCACUAUUGGAGGAGCCUGCGUUGGAUUAGCUAGUUGGUGAGGUAAAGGCUCACCAAGGCGAUGAUGCAUAGCCGACCUGAGAGGGUGAUC
rnacentral:rRNA from 1 species